CCUACGGGGGGCUGCAGUGGGGAAUAUUGCACAAUGGGGGAAACCCUGAUGCAGCAACGCCGCGUGAGUGAUGACGGCCUUCGGGUUGUAAAGCUCUGUCUUCAGGGACGAUAAUGACGGUACCUGAGGAGGAAGCCACGGCUAACUACGUGCCAGCAGCCGCGGUAAUACGUAGGUGGCGAGCGUUGUCCGGAUUUACUGGGCGUAAAGGGAGCGUAGGCGGACUUUUAAGUGAGAUGUGAAAUACCCGGGCUCAACUUGGGUGCUGCAUUUCAAACUGGAAGUCUAGAGUGCAGGAGAGGAGAAUGGAAUUCCUAGUGUAGCGGUGAAAUGCGUAGAGAUUAGGAAGAACACCAGUGGCGAAGGCGAUUCUCUGGACUGUAACUGACGCUGAGGCUCGAAAGCGUGGGGAGCAAACAGGAUUAGAUACCCGUGUAGUC
rnacentral:rRNA from 1 species